rnacentral:lncRNA from 1 species
AUAUUUAGGGUUUAUGUUAGAGUUUUUAGGGUUCUGUAAUCUGUAUUAGGGUUUUUUUUUUUUUGGUACAUAUUGUUUCUCUUAAUUAUGGACAGAGAGCUAGUGUGAGCUCCUGCUGCUGCUUUUGUGCCAAAGCUUAAAUUCACGUAUAAAUCAAAAUCACAAUUGAAGCAUAAUUUGAAAUUGAAAGAAUCUGUUUUUGUUUUGAUUUGAAGCUGCUGGUGUUUUAUUUAUUUAUUUGUGUUUAUGUUUUU